rnacentral:rRNA from 1 species
UCAGGGCUUAACUNUGAGCUUGCUUUCGAUACGGGCUGACUUGAGGGAGGUAGGGGAGAAUGGAAUUCCUGGUGGAGCGGUGGAAUGCGCAGAUAUCAGGAGGAACACCGGUGGCGAAGGCGGUUCUCUGGACCUUUCCUGACGCUGAGAAGCGAAAGCGUGGGGAGCGAACAGGCUUAGAUACCCUGGUAGUCCACGCUGUAAACGGUGGGUACUAGGUGUGGGGGACAUUCCACGUUCUCCGUGCCGUAGCUAGCGCAUUAAGUACCCCGCCUGGGGAGUACGGCCGCAAGGCUAAAACUCAAAGGAAUUGACGGGGCCCCGCACAAGCGGCGGAGCAUGCGGAUUAAUUCGAUGCAACGCGAAGAACCUUACCUGGGUUUGACAUAUGCCGGAAGCGUUCAGAGAUGGGCGUGCCUUUUUGGUCGGUUUACAGGUGGUGCAUGGCUGUCGUCAGCUCGUGUCGUGAGAUGUUGGGUUAAGUCCCGCAACGAGCGCAACCCUCGUCCAAUGUUGCCAGCGGGUUAUGCCGGGGACUCAUUGGAGACCGCCGGGGUCAACUCGGAGGAAGGUGGGGAUGACGUCAAGUCAUCAUGCCCCUUAUGUCCAGGGCUUCACGCAUGCUACAAUGGCCGGUACAGUGAGCUGCGAGCCUGUGAGGGUGAGCGAAUCUCUAAAAGCCGGUCUCAGUUCGGAUUGGGGUCUGCAACUCGACCCCAUGAAGUCGGAGUCGCUAGUAAUCGCAGAUCAGCAACGCUGCGGUGAAUACGUUCCCGGGGCUUGUACACACCGCCCGUCAAGUCAUGAAAGUCGGUAACACCCGAAGCCGGUGGCCUAACC